AUAUCAUUGAGCGGAGGAAGUGAAACUAAAUAGGAUUCCCAGAGUAACGGCGAGCGAAAUGGGAAGAGCUCAGCACCGAACCCUUUGUUCCGAGAGAGCAGUUGGGAAUGUGGUGUUUGGGAGGUCCAUUUCCUUGCGGAGGCCGGCUUGCCCAAGUCCGUUGGAAUACGGCCUCGUUCCCACAGAGGGUGACAGGCCCGGU
rnacentral:rRNA from 1 species